rnacentral:rRNA from 1 species
GUGGGGAAUAUUGGACAAUGGGCGAAAGCCUGAUCCAGCCAUGCCGCGUGUGUGAAGAAGGUCUUCGGAUUGUAAAGCACUUUAAGUUGGGAGGAAGGGCAGUAAGUUAAUACCUUGCUGUUUUGACGUUACCGACAGAAUAAGCACCGGCUAACUUCGUGCCAGCAGCCGCGGUAAUACGAAGGGUGCAAGCGUUAAUCGGAAUUACUGGGCGUAAAGCGCGCGUAGGUGGUUUUGUAAGUUGGAGGUGAAAUCCCCGGGCUGAACCGAGGAACUGCCUCCAAAACUGCAUGACUAGAGUACGGUAGAGGGUAGUGGAAUUUCCUGUGUAGCGGUGAAAUGCGUAGAUAUAGGAAGGAACACCAGUGGCGAAGGCGACUACCUGGACUGAUACUGACACUGAGGUGCGAAAGCGUGGGGAGCAAACAGGAUUAGAUACCCGUGUAGUCC